CAGCACUUAGCCCAGUGUUUAGCACACAGCAAACAUUCGGUAAGGUUUCGUUCUUGCUAAUACUGUUGCCAUUUCCUUCCUUCCAGGCCCUGCUUUGUCCCCUCAUCACACAUGAAGUGAAUGUCAUCUCUGUGAUGGGCAUUGUGGCAGGAUGGGGAAAUGAGGAAGAGAGGCUCCCUUUUCCAGAAAAUUCACUGUCUGUGAGUCAUCUCAUUGGAUGAGAUCAGAUGGGCCAUCGGGUUCUCAGACUGUGCUUCCCAGACCAGCAGCAUUAGCAUCACCUGGGAACUUUUUAGAAAUGAAAAUGCUGGGGCCUCACCCUGGACCUACUCAAAAAGAAACUUCGACGUGGGGACCCACAAUUUGGUUUUGACAAGGAGGUCAUCUCGAAUGUGAGAACCACUGCUGCUGUGCUAAAACUUCACCACUUAGUCAAGCCCUCCCCUGCCAUCUGCUCAGCUCCAAAACUGCUGCAAAGGUUGAGAGGAAUGAACCGCAUCCACGAUAGAAAUUCCAUGCCGUGAAACCCUCUCUCAUCUUUCCAGCUUGUUGAAUGUGGGCUCCAGAGGAUCACACUUUGAGGCUCACCAGGAUAUUCUCAUGAGGUUUUUAGUUUAUCAAGGACUGAAGCUCUUUUAUUAGCAAUUCAGCCCUAUUGGAAGCCUGGAGACGACACAGAGGGAAGAAGGUGCUGGGAAGAUGGGGGCAGAGAUUGGAGCGAUGCAGCUACCAGCCAAGGAACACCAAGAAGCUCGAAGAGAGGUACAGAACAGAUUCUUCCCUGCAGCACUGAGAGGAAACAUGGCCCUGGUGACAUCUUGCUGAUGAAUUUCUUAGCCUCCAGAAUGGAGACAGAAUGGGAGAAGAUAUU